rnacentral:rRNA from 1 species
ACAAAUGCCCUGCUUCCAGGAAAAGCCUCUAAGCAUCAGGUAACAUCAAAUCGUACCCCAAACCGACACAGGUGGUCAGGUAGAGAAUACCAAGGCGCUUGAGAGAACUCGGGUGAAGGAACUAGGCAAAAUGGUGCCGUAACUUCGGGAGAAGGCACGCUGACACGUAGGUGAAGUGAUUUACUCAUGGAGCUGAAGUCAGUCGAAGAUACCAGCUGGCUGCAACUGUUUAUUAAAAACACAGCACUGUGCAAACACGAAAGUGGACGUAUACGGUGUGACGCCUGCCCGGUGCCGGAAGGUUAAUUGAUGGGGUCAGCGCAAGCGAAGCUCCUGAUCGAAGCCCCGGUAAACGGCGGCCGUAACUAUAACGGUCCUAAGGUAGCGAAAUUCCUUGUCGGGUAAGUUCCGACCUGCACGAAUGGCGUAAUGAUGGCCAGGCUGUCUCCACCCGAGACUCAGUGAAAUUGAACUCGCUGUGAAGAUGCAGUGUACCCGCGGCAAGACGGAAAGACCCCGUGAACCUUUACUAUAGCUUGACACUGAACAUUGAGCCUUGAUGUGUAGGAUAGGUGGGAGGCUUUGAAGUGUGGACGCCAGUCUGCAUGGAGCCGACCUUGAAAUACCACCCUUUAAUGUUUGAUGUUCUAACGUGGACCCGUAAUCCGGGUUGCGGACAGUGUCUGGUGGGUAGUUUGACUGGGGCGGUCUCCUCCUAAAGAGUAACGGAGGAGCACGAAGGUUGGCUAAUCCUGGUCGGACAUCAGGAGGUUAGUGCAAUGGCAUAAGCCAGCUUGACUGCGAGCGUGACGGCGCGAGCAGGUGCGAAAGCAGGUCAUAGUGAUCCGGUGGUUCUGAAUGGAAGGGCCAUCGCUCAACGGAUAAAAGGUACUCCGGGGAUAACAGGCUGAUACCGCCCAAGAGUUCAUAUCGACGGCGGUGUUUGGCACCUCGAUGUCGGCUCAUCACAUCCUGGGGCUGAAGUAGGUCCCAAGGGUAUGGCUGUUCGCCAUUUAAAGUGGUACGCGAGCUGGGUUUAGAACGUCGUGAGACAGUUCGGUCCCUAUCUGCCGUGGGCGCUGGAGAACUGAGGGGGGCUGCUCCUAGUACGAGAGGACCGGAGUGGACGCAUCACUGGUGUUCGGGUUGUCAUGCCAAUGGCACUGCCCGGUAGCUAAAUGCGGAAGAGAUAAGUGCUGAAAGCAUCUAAGCACGAAACUUGCCCCGAGAUGAGUUCUCCCUGAGACUUAAAGUCUCCUGAAGGAACGUUGAAGACGACGACGUUGAUAGGCCGGGUGUGUAAGCGCAGCGAUGCGUUGAGCUAACCGGUACUAAUGAACCGUGAGGCUUAACC